GUUCCUGAGACUCCCUGAGCCUGAUCUGAACCCUUUUUUCCUUGAAGGGGGACCCGGGAGUCGGGGUUGAGGGACCCCCCGGGCCAGCUGGUCUUCCGGGUGUGAAGGGAGAUGUGGGCCCCCCUGGAUCCCCCGGGGCUCCUGGUGUUGUUGGAUUCCCUGGUCAGACAGGCCCUCGAGGAGAGAUGGGUCAGCCAGGCCCCAGUGGAGAGCGGGGUCUGGCCGGUCUCCCAGGGAGAGAGGGACCCCCAGGUCCCUUGGGACCACCUGGACCACCAGGGUCAACGGGAGUGCCCGGGGCCUCUGGACCCAAAGGAGACAAGGGAGACUCUGGAGUGGGGCUGCCAGGGGCCCGGGGUGAGCGUGGGGAGCCAGGAGUCCGGGUAUGUAUGUCCUGCUCUGCAGUCACAGCUCCCUGUAUCACAGCCCUAA
rnacentral:lncRNA from 1 species